GGUUAAGCGACUAAGCGUACACGGUGGAUGCCCUGGCAGUCAGAGGCGAUGAAGGACGUGCUAAUCUGCGAUAAGCGUCGGUAAGGUGAUAUGAACCGUUAUAACCGGCGAUUUCCGAAUGGGGAAACCCAGUGUGUUUCGACACACUAUCAUUAACUGAAUCCAUAGGUUAAUGAGGCGAACCGGGGGAACUGAAACAUCUAAGUACCCCGAGGAAAAGAAAUCAACCGAGAUUCCCCCAGUAGCGGCGAGCGAACGGGGAGGAGCCCAGAGCCUGAAUCAGUGUGUGUGUUAGUGGAAGCGUCUGGAAAGGCGCGCGAUACAGGGUGACAGCCCCGUACACAAAAAUGCACAUGCUGUGAGCUCGAUGAGUAGGGCGGGACACGUGGUAUCCUGUCUGAAUAUGGGGGGACCAUCCUCCAAGGCUAAAUACUCCUGACUGACCGAUAGUGAACCAGUACCGUGAGGGAAAGGCGAAAAGAACCCCGGCGAGGGGAGUGAAAAAGAACCUGAAACCGUGUACGUACAAGCAGUGGGAGCACGCUUAGGCGUGUGACUGCGUACCUUUUGUAUAAUGGGUCAGCGACUUAUAUUCUGUAGCAAGGUUAACCGAAUAGGGGAGCCGAAGGGAAACCGAGUCUUAACUGGGCGUUAAGUUGCAGGGUAUAGACCCGAAACCCGGUGAUCUAGCCAUGGGCAGGUUGAAGGUUGGGUAACACUAACUGGAGGACCGAACCGACUAAUGUUGAAAAAUUAGCGGAUGACUUGUGGCUGGGGGUGAAAGGCCAAUCAAACCGGGAGAUAGCUGGUUCUCCCCGAAAGCUAUUUAGGUAGCGCCUCGUGAAUUCAUCUCCGGGGGUAGAGCACUGUUUCGGCAAGGGGGUCAUCCCGACUUACCAACCCGAUGCAAACUGCGAAUACCGGAGAAUGUUAUCACGGGAGACACACGGCGGGUGCUAACGUCCGUCGUGAAGAGGGAAACAACCCAGACCGCCAGCUAAGGUCCCAAAGUCAUGGUUAAGUGGGAAACGAUGUGGGAAGGCCCAGACAGCCAGGAUGUUGGCUUAGAAGCAGCCAUCAUUUAAAGAAAGCGUAAUAGCUCACUGGUCGAGUCGGCCUGCGCGGAAGAUGUAACGGGGCUAAACCAUGCACCGAAGCUGCGGCAGCGACGCUUAUGCGUUGUUGGGUAGGGGAGCGUUCUGUAAGCCUGCGAAGGUGUGCUGUGAGGCAUGCUGGAGGUAUCAGAAGUGCGAAUGCUGACAUAAGUAACGAUAAAGCGGGUGAAAAGCCCGCUCGCCGGAAGACCAAGGGUUCCUGUCCAACGUUAAUCGGGGCAGGGUGAGUCGACCCCUAAGGCGAGGCCGAAAGGCGUAGUCGAUGGGAAACAGGUUAAUAUUCCUGUACUUGGUGUUACUGCGAAGGGGGGACGGAGAAGGCUAUGUUGGCCGGGCGACGGUUGUCCCGGUUUAAGCGUGUAGGCUGGUUUUCCAGGCAAAUCCGGAAAAUCAAGGCUGAGGCGUGAUGACGAGGCACUACGGUGCUGAAGCAACAAAUGCCCUGCUUCCAGGAAAAGCCUCUAAGCAUCAGGUAACAUCAAAUCGUACCCCAAACCGACACAGGUGGUCAGGUAGAGAAUACCAAGGCGCUUGAGAGAACUCGGGUGAAGGAACUAGGCAAAAUGGUGCCGUAACUUCGGGAGAAGGCACGCUGAUAUGUAGGUGAAGUCCCUUGCGGAUGGAGCUGAAAUCAGUCGAAGAUACCAGCUGGCUGCAACUGUUUAUUAAAAACACAGCACUGUGCAAACACGAAAGUGGACGUAUACGGUGUGACGCCUGCCCGGUGCCGGAAGGUUAAUUGAUGGGGUUAGCGCAAGCGAAGCUCUUGAUCGAAGCCCCGGUAAACGGCGGCCGUAACUAUAACGGUCCUAAGGUAGCGAAAUUCCUUGUCGGGUAAGUUCCGACCUGCACGAAUGGCGUAAUGAUGGCCAGGCUGUCUCCACCCGAGACUCAGUGAAAUUGAACUCGCUGUGAAGAUGCAGUGUACCCGCGGCAAGACGGAAAGACCCCGUGAACCUUUACUAUAGCUUGACACUGAACAUUGAGCCUUGAUGUGUAGGAUAGGUGGGAGGCUUGGAAGUGUGGACGCCAGUCUGCAUGGAGCCGACCUUGAAAUACCACCCUUUAAUGUUUGAUGUUCUAACGUGGACCCGUAAUCCGGGUUGCGGACAGUGUCUGGUGGGUAGUUUGACUGGGGCGGUCUCCUCCUAAAGAGUAACGGAGGAGCACGAAGGUUGGCUAAUCCUGGUCGGACAUCAGGAGGUUAGUGCAAUGGCAUAAGCCAGCUUGACUGCGAGCGUGACGGCGCGAGCAGGUGCGAAAGCAGGUCAUAGUGAUCCGGUGGUUCUGAAUGGAAGGGCCAUCGCUCAACGGAUAAAAGGUACUCCGGGGAUAACAGGCUGAUACCGCCCAAGAGUUCAUAUCGACGGCGGUGUUUGGCACCUCGAUGUCGGCUCAUCACAUCCUGGGGCUGAAGUAGGUCCCAAGGGUAUGGCUGUUCGCCAUUUAAAGUGGUACGCGAGCUGGGUUUAGAACGUCGUGAGACAGUUCGGUCCCUAUCUGCCGUGGGCGCUGGAGAACUGAGGGGGGCUGCUCCUAGUACGAGAGGACCGGAGUGGACGCAUCACUGGUGUUCGGGUUGUCAUGCCAAUGGCACUGCCCGGUAGCUAAAUGCGGAAGAGAUAAGUGCUGAAAGCAUCUAAGCACGAAACUUGCCCCGAGAUGAGUUCUCCCUGACUCCUUGAGAGUCCUGAAGGAACGUUGAAGACGACGACGUUGAUAGGCCGGGUGUGUAAGCGCAGCGAUGCGUUGAGCUAACCGGUACUAAUGAACCGUGAGGCUUAACCUU
rnacentral:rRNA from 1 species